rnacentral:rRNA from 1 species
UACGGAGAGUGCAAGCAUUAAUCGGAAUUAUUGGGCGUAAAGGGCGCGUAGGCGGGAAGAUAAGUCAGAUGUGAAAUUCCGAAGCUCAACUUCGGAGCUGCAUUUGAAACUAUCAUUCUUGAGGGUUGACGGAGAAAACGGAAUUCCAAGUGUAGCGGUGAAAUGCGUAGAUAUUUGGAAGAACACCAGUGGCGAAAGCGGUUUUCUAGUUAAUACCUGACGCUGAGGCGCGAGAGCAAGGGGAGCAAACAGG